CCCAUUAGGUUGCUUUUUGAUUAAUUAGUUCAGUUACAUGGACCUGUUAAGAUACUUUAGUUUGAUCGAGUCCAGAUAAUUUAGUUUGACCUCAUUUGUUGGCUUGAGGUUAAAAUGAUGGUUGUUCUUGGGGAGCUUGGAGGAAGUGAUGAGUAUUUGCUCCUCGAAUCUUUGAAACAAGGAAAGGUUCAGAAACCUGUUGUUGCUUGGGUUAGUAGGACGUGUGCACGUCUGUUGAAAUCCGAGUCCAGUUUGGCCAUGCUUGUGCGAUGGUGGUGAGGUGGAAUCUGCACAAGCUAAGAAUCAGGCACUAAGGGAUGCUGGGGCUGUUGUUCCUACUUCAUUGGAAACUCUUGAAAGGAUUAAGGAGACAUUUCAGAAGUUGGUACAUCACGGCUGAUGUCUUUUGCAAGUUUUUUUUUGGGAAUGUGUUAGUGGGAAUCAAAGCUUGGGGUUACAUAUAUUUUUUGCAGGUUGAGGAAGGAACAAUUCCUCCUGUCCCUGAGGUUACACCUCCCCCCAUUCCUGAGGAUCUUAAAAUUGCCAUUAAAAGUGGGAAGGAGAGGGACACACUCUGGGAAAAGGUUGCUUGGGCAGGCUUGCAUCUCCGUAUAUUUUUCCAUAUAAAUUGUAAAAGUGGGCAACUCGAUGCUUGUUCCUUUGCCAUUGACCGUGUCGGGAAGUUGAGCUCAGAAACUGCCGUGACAGCACUGGAUGCUUGAACCCACCGGUAGCAUCAUGGAGCUACCAAUGUUAGGAAGGGUACCACAAGAGAUGAUUCUGAGAAGGGGUAAGGGGAAGGUCCUGAAAAGGAACAAGCUGGAGAAGAUAGAUCUUAUCACCAAAUAUACGUGGAGGAAGAUGAAGAAGCAAGACCCUAAGAUGGACGACUCUUAGAACAUAACUGACAAAUAAGCAGAGAAUUGUAGGUGCUAUGGAAUCGAUGGGUGGUCAGAAUUCUUAUCAGUAAUAGUUCAUGCUUGAUGUAUGUAGCUCUCCCCUGGCCUACUACAUUCAGGACACCUGCCCUGCAGUCGGUAUCGAGAAAUUAUGUCCAUUGCUUUUUCUACUACAUUGAGGGCUACAUGUGUUUCGAAGAGAGGUUUACAGUUGAGAUUUCUUUUGCUUUGUAGCUUCACAUGUUCAUACUUCCACCAGAUAGUCUGAACAAAUAUCACUGCAAGAGCCCCAUGCUGUAAAUUGAGUUAACUUUUAGCUUUGCGGGUAGUCAACCAAAUUUUGGUGCUUGGUUGAUAGCCCCUACCCAUUUAUCAAUGACAAUUGCCAUCACCUUUGUAAGCAAUAUUUCUGGUUCUGAUAAAGAACCAAGUUAUACUUAUUUGUUUUAUGUAUAAACAUCAAAUCUUUCAAA